GAUGAACGCUAGCGGCAGGCUUAAUACAUGCAAGUCGAGGGACAGCACAGGUAGCAAUACUGGGUGGUAACCGGCAAACGGGUGCGGAACACGUACACAACCUUCCUUUAAGUGGGGGAUAGCCCAGCGAAAUUUGGAUUAAUACCCCGUAAUAUAGUUGAAUGGCAUCAUUUGAUUAUUAUAGCUACGGCGCUUAAUGAUGGGUGUGCGGCGGAUUAGCUAGUUGGCGGGGUAACGGCCCACCAAGUCUACGAUCAGUAGCUGAUGUUAGAGCAUGAUCAGCCAAACGGGCACUGAGACACGGGCCAGACUCCUACGGGAGGCAGCAGUAAGGAAUAUUGGUCAAUGGACGCAAGUCUGAACCAGCCAUGCCGCGUGAAGGAUUAAGGUCCUCUGGAUUGUAAACUUCCUUUAUUUGGGACGAAAAAGGGCCUUUCUAGGUCAACUGACGGUACCAGAUGAAUAAGCACCGGCUAACUCCGUGCCAGCCGCCGCCGUAACAC
rnacentral:rRNA from 1 species